rnacentral:rRNA from 1 species
UACGUAGGGUGCAAGCGUUGUCCGGAAUUAUUGGGCGUAAAGAGCUUGUAGGCGGUUUGUCGCGUCUGCUGUGAAAUUUCGGGGCUCAACCCCGAACUUGCAGUGGGUACGGGCAGACUAGAGUGUGGUAGGGGAGACUGGAAUUCCUGGUGUAGCGGUGAAAUGCGCAGAUAUCAGGAGGAAUACCCAUAGCGAAGGCAGCUCGCUGGGACGUUACUGACGCUGAGGCGCGAAAGCGUGGGGAGCGAACAGG